UACGUAGGGCGCAAGCGUUGUCCGGAAUCAUUGGGCGUAAAGAGCUCGUAGGUGGUCUGUUACGUCUGCUGUGAAAUCCUAGGGCUUAACCCUGGGCCUGCAGUGGAUACGGGCAGACUAGAGGUAGGUAAGGGAGAAUGGAAUUCCCGGUGUAGCGGUGAAAUGCGCAGAUAUCGGGAGGAACACCGGUGGCGAAGGCGGUUCUCUGGGCCGUACCUGACACUGAGGAGCGAAAGCGUGGGGAGCGAACAGG
rnacentral:rRNA from 1 species